CGUGGGGAACCUGCCCCAUAGUCUGGGAUACCACUUGGAAACAGGUGCUAAUACCGGAUAAGAAAGCAGAUCGCAUGAUCAGCUUUUAAAAGGCGGCGUAAGCUGUCGCUAUGGGAUGGCCCCGCGGUGCAUUAGCUAGUUGGUAAGGUAAAGGCUUACCAAGGCGAUGAUGCAUAGCCGAGUUGAGAGACUGAUCGGCCACAUUGGGACUGAGACACGGCCCAAACUCCUACGGGAGGCAGCAGUC
rnacentral:rRNA from 1 species